AUAGGCUAAUGUUAAGACACUUGGCCAUUAUGUGACUGAUGAAAUAAGGAAAGAGGCUGGGAAGCUUAAUAAGUCUUGAACCAAGCUCAACAGCCUCAUUUUUCCUCUUUUCUACCUAUUUCAUACCAAGGCUUAUGCCUAAUUUCUUUAUACUCCCAUCCCAAAUUAUGAAUAUCUUUAAGUUCUACAAGUACAAAUCUCUUCAAUAUAAAGAAAUAAUCAAGUUUAUCAAAUAAUUGACGUUAUAAACUGAAAUUAAGGAAUAUUGGAAACUAAGUGCUGUCCAAAAGAGAAAUUAAAAAAAAAGUAGGAGCAAGGACAGAGAUAAUCACUCUGUGUGAGGUAAGUUGUAUUUUUCUUAUCAAAUUCAUGAAUUAAAGUAGAUAGUAAGUGAAUAUUGCUGUGAUUGUUGUGGAAGUUUGUAUGAUGGAGAAAUCAGAUGGAUUCCGGACACAUAAGGAUGGAAUUUUAUGGAGUAUAGGAUGUUUAGCAUGUUCAAAUUCUCACGAAUUUUGAGUUUCUG
rnacentral:lncRNA from 1 species